GAUGAACGCUGGCGGCGUGCCUAAUACAUGCAAGUCGAGCGAAUGGAUUGAGAGCUUGCUCUUAUGAAGUUAGCGGCGGACGGGUGAGUAACACGUGGGUAACCUGCCCAUAAGACUGGGAUAACUCCGGGAAACCGGGGCUAAUACCGGAUAACAUUUUGAACUGCAUGGUUCGAAAUUGAAUGGCGGCUUCGGCUGUCACUUAUGGAUGGACCCGCGUCGCAUUAGCUAGUUGGUGAGGUAACGGCUCACCAAGGCAACGAUGCGUAGCCGACCUGAGAGGGUGAUCGGCCACACUGGGACUGAGACACGGCCCAGACUCCUACGGGAGGCAGCAGUAGGGAAUCUUCCGCAAUGGGCGAAAGUCUGACGGAGCAACGCCGCGUGAGUGAUGAAGGCUUUCGGGUCGUAAAACUCUGUUGUUAGGGAAGAACAAGUGCUAGUUGAAUAAGCUGGCACCUUGACGGUACCUAACCAGAAAGCCACGGCUAACUACGUGCCAGCCGCCGCAGUAA
rnacentral:rRNA from 1 species